rnacentral:rRNA from 1 species
CCUACGGGUGGCAGCAGUGAGGAAUAUUGGUCAAUGGGCGUAAGCCUGAACCAGCCAAGUCGCGUGAGGGAUGAAGGUUCUAUGGAUCGUAAACCUCUUUUAUAAGGGAAUAAAGUGUGGGACGUGUCCUGUUUUGUAUGUACCUUAUGAAUAAGGAUCGGCUAACUCCGUGCCAGCAGCCGCGGUAAUACGGGGGAUCCGAGCGUUAUCCGUAUUUAUUGGGUUUAAAGGGUGCGUAGGCGGCCUUUUACGUCAGCGGUGAAAGUCUGUGGCUCAACCAUAGAAUUGCCGUUGAAACUGGGAGGCUUGAGUAUGUUUGAGGCAGGCGGAAUGCGUGGUGUAGCGGUGAAAUGCUUAGAUAUCACGCAGAACCCCGAUUGCGAAGGCAGCCUGCCAAGCCAUGACUGACGCUGAUGCACGAAAGCGUGGGGAUCAAACAGGAUUAGAUACCCCAGUAGUC